rnacentral:lncRNA from 1 species
UGAACACAGUCAGCAAGAUUAACCAGACAUACCACAGACUUGUCCAAUUAGACAUGUUCUGAGGGCAUGGUACAAAGAAAUACAAGAUAAGAAGGAGAUCAGCUUUAGCACAUUUCAGACACAGCAGUACUCCAAGUGGAGAUUUGGGAUGGAUUUGAUGCAGAGCGGUGCUUUUGGCCCCGGAGAGGAGCCUGCCAGCUGACUCCCAGCAGCUGACACUUCCGAGUCCUUACGAAGAAGAGCGUUGUGCGGCUCCGUGCGUGCAGCAAGGGCAGCCAAGUCACGGCCCGGAGCCGGGAAGGAGCUGGGAGAGAAACCGGGCAGCAGCGCACGGCCGCGAGUAAAUGUUCCUUCUGACCCGAUACUGCCACUCGAUCAGGAUGGGAACGGAUGGGGAAACGGACAUUUGAAAAAUUUCCAUUACUCACUGAUCAGAGUCCUUCGUGCUAUCCACAGAAGAGCAAAGCGGUGCCUGAGAAAGGGAAAAAAGGGGGUCAGGAAACCAGACGGGCAGCAGCAAAGCGCCGCCGUGUCCCGCAG